CCUCUUGAUCUUGUAUGUACAUAUAUGUAUCAUAGCUAGCUCUAGCAGUCUAGCUAGGCUGUACCCCUGAGAUAUUGGAGUCCUGGCCAAUCCAAAAUCUAAAUUUAGGCCCUGGAUUUAAGAGAAAGAAAAUAUGGAAAUUAGUUAUUUCCAUUAAGGAUAGUGGCAACACAACUUUUUUCUAAGAACUUAGACUGUCAUCAAAAUUCAACAUAGAAGAUAAACCAACUUAGGAACCUUUUCUGCCCUAGUGGAGAAAGCAAAAGUGCUCGGAUCAAGGGCCUCUUAAUUUCUUAGUAUCAAGCUGGAAAAGAGCAUAAGCUAGCUAGCUUCAUCCAUGUUGGUAUUGGAAGGAAUUAUAUACAUGUUAUCAGAGUGCUAACAGUGACGACAUUAAUUACAGCUGAAGUUAGCGUCCCAAGGAUUACUACUCUCAAGUUCUGAACAUAAGACCUCAUCGAUUCUAUUAACAAAAUCAGUUACCAUUGUUAG
rnacentral:lncRNA from 1 species